rnacentral:rRNA from 1 species
GGCGUAGCAAUACGUGCUGACGAGCGGCGAACGGGUGCGUAAUACAUGGGAAUCUGCCCUUUGGUGGGGAAUAACCCGGCGAAAGCCGGGCUAAUGCCGCAUGAGAUCUUCGGAUGAAAGCGGGGGAUCGUAAGACCUNGCGCCGAUGGAUGAGCCCAUGUCGGAUUAGCUAGUUGGUGAGGUAACGGCUCACCAAGGCGACGAUCCGUAGCUGGUCUGAGAGGACGAUCAGCCACACUGGGACUGAGACACGGCCCAGACUCCUACGGGAGGCAGCAGUGGGGAAUCUUGCGCAAUGGGCGAAAGCCUGACGCAGCGACGCCGCGUGAGGGAAGAAGGCCUUCGGGUUGUAAACCUCUUUCAGGAGGGACGAAGCUACUCGGGUUAAUGGCCCAGAGGGUGACGGUACCUCCAGAAGAAGCCCCGGCUAACUACGUGCCAGCAGCCGCGGUAAUACGUAGGGGGCAAGCGUUGUCCGGAUUUAUUGGGCGUAAAGCGCGNGUAGGCGNCCAGAUAAGUCCGCUGUGAAAACUNGAAGCUCAACUUCGAGCUGUCGGUGGAAACUAUUUGGCUAGAGUCCGGAAGAGGAGAGUGGAAUUCCUGCUGAG